AAGAGAGGGUUGUUGGUUUCAAAUAUCUUUCAUUGUGCUUGGAGAAAGAGGAGAUAGCGACGGAGCGGAUUUCAAUUGCUUAUCUUGCUGAAGAUAGAUUCACAGGUCUUGGUCCAGGAAUAUUUUUCUCGAUUCAGAUUAUCAUGUACUAGGAUCAAAUGAGCGCAAAGUCAUAGGCUUUUUGUGAUCCGUGUAGUUUAUUUGAUGCAUUAUCAUAUGGGGCUGCUUUCCAUGGCAAUGGUUUUUAUCAGCAAAGCUGUGGACUACUCGCUUUCAAUGACACUUUUCAUUCUUGAGAUCAAGCACUUGGUUCUGAACCUACAUUGCCUUACUUGAGUUCGGAUUAGCUCAAUGAAGAAAUAUAUUUGGUGGUGCUAAAUUUGCUUCUGCUGGCACUGGAGUCCUCAUGACACCGGGGAGUUUAGCAUAAGCUUGAAGAAAAGUUCAUUGCAGAUGAGGCAUAACCAAUGCAGGAGAAAGUAGAGAUAUAAAUUCGAAAGUUAUGUAAAAGCCUUCUGCUCUAAAGCUUCAAACCUUAGCGGUUUUGGAAGACAUGCGGGUGUGGCCAGCAUUCUCCAUUGUGAUUUUGAAGAAAUGGAAAACGUACAGUUGGGUCCGGAGUUAGACGAGUCUGGAAGCAUACUUCUGUAGGUAUCAGAGAAGGUUAAUCUUAAGUUGCCUUUGUAAGUCAGGU